rnacentral:rRNA from 1 species
UACGAAGGGUGCAAGCGUUAAUCGGAAUUACUGGGCGUAAAGCGUGCGUAGGUGGUUGGUUAAGUCUGUCGUGAAAGCCCUGGGCUCAACCUGGGAAUGGCGAUGGAUACUGGCCGACUAGAGUGCGGUAGAGGGUAGCGGAAUUUCCGGUGUAGCGGUGAAAUGCGUAGAGAUCGGAAGGAACAUCCGUGGCGAAGGCGGCUACCUGGACCAGCACUGACACUGAGGCACGAAAGCGUGGGGAGCAAAC